rnacentral:rRNA from 1 species
AUUGAACGCUGGCGGCAGGCCUAACACAUGCAAGUCGAACGAGUGGCGGACGGGUGAGUAAUGUCUGGGAAACUGCCUGAUGGAGGGGGAUAACUACUGGAAACGGUAGCUAAUACCGCAUACCAUCGGAUGUGCCCAGAUGGGCUUAGCUAGUAGGUGGGGUAAAGGCUCACCUAGGCGACGAUCCCUAGCUGGUCUGAGAGGAUGACAGGCGACACGGGAACUGAGACACGGUCAAUAGUCCUAAGGGAGGCAGCAGUGGGGAAUAUUGCACAAUGGGGGCAAGCCUGCUGCAGCCAUGCGGCGUGUAUGGAGAAGGCCUUGGGGUUGUAAAGUACUUUCAGCGGGGAGGCGUUACCUGCAGAAGAAGCACCGGCUAACUCCGUGCCAGCCGCCGCGGUAAUUC